rnacentral:rRNA from 1 species
GAUGAACGCUGGCGGCGUGCCUAAUACAUGCAAGUCGAGCGAACAGACGAGGAGCUUGCUCCUCUGACGUUAGCGGCGGACGGGUGAGUAACACGUGGAUAACCUACCUAUAAGACUGGGAUAACUUCGGGAAACCGGAGCUAAUACCGGAUAAUAUAUUGAACCGCAUGGUUCAAUAGUGAAAGACGGUUUUGCUGUCACUUAUAGAUGGAUCCGCGCCGCAUUAGCUAGUUGGUAAGGUAACGGCUUACCAAGGCAACGAUGCGUAGCCGACCUGAGAGGGUGAUCGGCCACACGGGAACUGAGACACGGUCAAGACUCCUACGGGAGGCAGCAGAAGGGAAUCUGCCGCAAUGGGCGAAAGCAUGACGGAGCAACGCCGCGUGAGUGAUGAAGGUCUUCGGAUCGUAAAACUCUGUUAUUAGGGAAGAACAAAUGUGUAAGUAACUAUGCACGUCUUGACGGUACCUAAUCAGAAAGCCACGGCUAACUACGUG